GGGUCAGAAGGUUGGUCGUGCCACCGGUACGUACUGGUCUCACUGAUUCCUCCUUCCUGAAGAACCGUAAUGCCAUUAAUUUGGUGUUGCGGGGAAACAGGACAGCUACUUUGAAAAAAUUAGAGUGUUUAAAGCAAGCUAACGCUUGAAUACAUUAGCAUGGAAUAAUGGAAUAGGACGAUCGAUCCUAUUUUGUUGGUUUCUAGGAUUGACGUAAUGUUUAAUAUGGAUAGUUGGG
rnacentral:rRNA from 1 species